rnacentral:rRNA from 1 species
GGUCUCCUCCCAAAGCGUAACGGAGGAGUACGAAGGUACGCUAGGUACGGUCGGAAAUCGUGCUGAUAGUGCAAUGGCAUAAGCGUGCUUAACUGCGAGACCGACAAGUCGAGCAGGUGCGAAAGCAGGUCAUAGUGAUCCGGUGGUUCUGUAUGGAAGGGCCAUCGCUCAACGGAUAAAAGGUACUCUGGGGAUAACAGGCUGAUACCGCCCAAGAGUUCAUAUCGACGGCGGUGUUUGGCACCUCGAUGUCGGCUCAUCUCAUCCUGGGGCUGUAGCCGGUCCCAAGGGUAUGGCUGUUCGCCAUUUAAAGAGGUACGUGAGCUGGGUUUAAAACGUCGUGAGACAGUUUGGUCCCUAUCUGCCGUGGGCGUUGGAUAUUUGAAGGGGGCUGCUCCUAGUACGAGAGGACCGGAGUGGACGAACCUCUGGUGUACCGGUUGUGACGCCAGUCGCAUCGCCGGGUAGCUAUGUUCGGAAGAGAUAACCGCUGAAAGCAUCUAAGCGGGAAACUCGCCUUAAGAUGAGAUAUCCCUGGAGGCUUGACCUCCUUGAAGGGUCGUUCGAGACCAGGACGUUGAUAGGUCAGGUGUGUAAGCGCAGUAAUGCGUUCAGCUAACUGAUACUAAUUGCCCGUAAGGCUUGAUCCUAUAACA